GUGCUUGCUUUGGCAGCAUGUAUACUAAAAUUGGAAUGAUACAGAAAGAUUAGUAUGGCCCCUGCACAAGGAUGACAUGCAAAUUUGUGAAACGUUCCAUAAAAGA